GACGAACGCUGGCGGCGUGCUUAACACAUGCAAGUCGAACGGAAAGGCCCUGCUUUUGUGGGGUGCUCGAGUGGCGAACGGGUGAGUAACACGUGAGUAACCUGCCCCUGACUUUGGGAUAACUUCAGGAAACUGGGGCUAAUACCGGAUAGGAGCUCCUGCUGCAUGGUGGGGGUUGGUAAGUUUCGGCGGUUGGGGAUGGACUCGCGGCUUAUCAGCUUGUUGGUGGGGUAGUGGCUUACCAAGGCUUUGACGGGUAGCCGGCCUGGGAGGGUGACCGGCCACAUUGGGACUGAGAUACGGCGCAGACUCCUACGGGAGGCAGCAGUGGGGAAUAUUGCACAAUGGGCGGAAGCCUGAUGCAGCAGCGCCGCGUGCGGGAUGACGGCCUUCGGGUUGUAAACCGCUUUCGCCUGUGACGAAGCGUGAGUGACGGUAAUGGGUAAAGAAGCACCGGCUAACUACGUG
rnacentral:rRNA from 1 species